CAGCAGCCACGGUAAUACGUAGGGUGCAAGCGUUAAUCGGAAUUAUUGGGCGUAAAGGGCUCGCAGGCGGUUUCUUAAGUCUGAUGUGAAAGCCCCCGGCUCAACCGGGGAGGGUCAUUGGAAACUGGGAAACUUGAGUGCAGAAGAGGAGAGUGGAAUUCCACGUGUAGCGGUGAAAUGCGUAGAGAUGUGGAGGAACACCAGUGGCGAAGGCGACUCUCUGGUCUGUAACUGACGCUGAGGAGCGAAAGCGUGGGGAGCAAACAGGAUUAGAUACCCCCGUAGUCCCUGUCUCUUAUAC
rnacentral:rRNA from 1 species